rnacentral:misc_RNA from 1 species
CUUUGUUCGUUUCCGAGCUAUGGAAAGUUUGAAGAUGGGUGCUUUUUUGUUAUGUUUUUCCUUUUUCUACGAGGCCUGUAAACCAGGAAGAACUGGAGCUUAAACAGUGUAAGAAUAGCAGAGUCAUGAUGGGGUGAAAGCUUUGUUCUUUGGGUUAAUCAGUGAAGACAAUCACACAAAUUUGGAGAGAUCUGCGUUCAGCUUUUUGCGUAUAACUACGAUGAAUUGAGACUUUAUCUGGGCUUUGCUCAUUUUAUUAUGCUUUGAAGUUAAACUUGGAGCGUAUUCUUUUGACUAUACUGAAGAAAUGGGUUGUGUAGCAUCAAAGAUUCAUAAGGAAGAGAGGGUGCAAAUUUGCAGGGAGAGAAAGAGGCUAAUGAAACAAUUGGUAGUUUUUCGAGGAGAAUUUGCAGAUGCCCAAUUGGCUUAUUUGAGAGCACUGAAGAAUACUGGUGUAACUCUUAGACAAUUCACUGAAUCAGAGUCAUUAGAGCUUGAAAAUACCUCUUAUGGCCAGACAUUGCCUCCUUCCCCUCCUCUUCCUCUGCCUCCUUCCCCUCCACCUCCUCCAUUCAGCCCUGAUUUAAGAGGGUCCAUUGAUAAUCAGAAAGAAGAAAUUGAUCAAGAAGAAGGUGUAAAAAUUGAUGAGGAUGAUUGCUAUACCCAAUCACAUCC